GACGAACGCUGGCGGCGUGCUUAACACAUGCAAGUCGAACGGAAAGGCCCUGCAUUUGUGGGGUUCUCGAAUGGCGAACGGGUGAGUAACACGUGAGUAACCUGCCCUUGACUUGGGGAUAACUUCAGGAAAAUGGGGUUAAUACCGGAUAGGAGCUCCUGCUGCACGGUGGGGGGUGGAAAGGGUCGGGGGUUGGGGAUGGCCGCGCGGCUUAUCAGCUUGUUGGUGGGGUAGUGGCUUUCCAAGGCUUUGACGGAUAGCCGGCCUGGGAGGGUGGACGGCGACAUUGGGACUGAGGUACGGACCAGACUGCAACGGGGGGCAGCAGUGGCGAAUAUUGCGCAAUGGGCGGAAGCCUGAUGCAGCAGCGCCGCGUGCGGGAAGACGGCCUUCGGGUUGUGAACCGCUUUCGCCUGUGACGAAGCGUGAGUGACGGUAAUGGGUAAAGAAGCACCGGCUAACUACGUG
rnacentral:rRNA from 1 species